CCUACGGGAGGCAGCAGCUAAGAAUAUUCCGCAAUGGACGGAAGUCUGACGGAGCGACGCCGCGUGGAUGAAGAAGGCUGCAAAGUUGUAAAAUCCUUUUGUUGAUGAAGAAUAAGGGGAAGAGGGAAUGCUUCUCUGAUGACGGUAAUCAGCGAAUAAGCCCCGGCUAAUUACGUGCCAGCAGCCGCGGUAACACGUAAGGGGCGAGCGUUGUUCGGAAUUAUUGGGCGUAAAGGGCAUGUAGGCGGCUAUGUAAGCCUGAUGUGAAAUCCUGGGGCUUAACCCUAGAAUAGCAUUGGGUACUGUGUAGCUUGAAUUACGGAAGGGAAACUGGAAUUCCAAGUGUAGGGGUGGAAUCUGUAGAUAUUUGGAAGAACACCGGUGGCGAAGGCGGGUUUCUGGCCGAUAAUUGACGCUGAGAUGCGAAAGUGUGGGGAUCGAACAGGAUUAGAUACCCUAGUAGUC
rnacentral:rRNA from 1 species